ACAGUUGUCCCUUGAACAACAUGGGUUUGAAUUGUGUGGGUCCAUUUAUACACGGAUUGUUUUCAAUAAAUAUACAAAAAUAUAUGUGUAGAACAUCAUGUGCAAGACUUAUAUUGAAGUGGAUAGCCUAUCCUUACACAGAAAUAGGAGGACAGUGUGGCUUCUUGAGUUCCAGGGUAACUAUCAACAAAAAGAUAGAAAAUCUUCAUUGUUAGUCCUUCUGCUGGGAUCACUAGAAACUUCUUCAUUGAGGACACUAGAGUGAAACCUUACUUGAUUAUGGGAAUGCCACCUGCCUUCCCUUGGAAAGACAUUAGAAUAAAG